GGUCGAAUAAGGCGGUCGCGCCGCAUCCGACAAUGGCCGGCACAUUUGCCUGAUGCGACGCUGACGCGUCUUAUCAGGCC
rfam:Escherichia coli str. K-12 substr. MG1655, complete genome.